UUCAGUGACCCGCAUUCGCAACCAGAGGGCACCGGUAGAGGCGGUGGAGGUGGUCACGCUGAGCCCACAUGCUGAUGGUGAUGCGCCCGACAGAGAUGCUCAGUCAGCAGCGUCGGGAGCUGCAGCCGUGCAUCAGGCUUCCACCAUGGCUCUAGCCGGCAGCGUGGACACGGAGGUUGAAAACCUUUCACGGGAUACUGAGCCGACAGACUGGUGGAAAGUGAACGUGGGGAGAUUCCCCCGGAUCGGCAAAGCUGGCACGACAGUACGCCUUCCAUCCCAGCAGAACUUCACAUGUGUAGGAGAGACUAAGAUGAGAAGAAAAGGCGCAAAUAUUUUAUUUCCGCGUAUAGACAACCCACCCACAUGGACACGUAUAAGUGGAAACUGCAGAGGUUGACCUUCCGUCCCUGUGGGGUGAGUGGAAACAUGGUGAGUGGCAGCUUGAUAAACACUUCGCUCCUCUUGUCGAGAAGACACCUGUCACGAUGCAAUCUGUUCUCACAAUCACCACCUGAACCAGCCUGCUCGGUGCUACAGCUCAGUGAGAAACCCACAGUUACCUACCGACCAUAAAAUCAAACCAGAACAAAAGAGGCUAAUGAGCAUCAGAUUCACAUUUACCGAUCCAAAAAACACCCCAGAAAUUGACGUUUUCAUUCAGAGUUCAAUUAAAAAUGCUAUUUAAAAAAAAUCAUUCAGUCUGUGCUAAUAUUUAUGAAAGAGCCAUAAUUGAUAUAAACUAAGCUGCUAUUUAACAGCACAUUACUUGUUCCCGUGCUAAUCUCCAGGCAACCUUUUUCUUGAUUUAUUUCCUUUUUGAAGGAUUUCUUUCUCCAGUCCAGAGGCAGUUUCAACCACAACAUCAUCUUAAAUAGGAGGAUGAAAAGAUGAAAAGAGAGGACAGGAGGAGGAGGAGGAGGAGGAAGAAGGGGCUCAAGGUCUGAUCACUAUGUGCUCUGACUGGAGUGUGCGGCAUAAAACGAUGUAAUACCAUCCUGUCAUCAUCGUGCACAGUGCUUUGGUUCUGUAGAAACAGGGCUCAGUAUAGCAAGAGGCUCACCUGUAGAGCGAAAUUCAACGUUUCAAGACACUGUGAGACAGAGAGAGAGAUUAACGUGACCUUUAGAUAUCUCAUUUGCUAGAUUUAAGGCGGCAGUGGGCAGAGUGUUUUUGGCAUCAUUGGGAAAAAAUGUCCAUAAUAACCUUUCAGCAUAUUGUAAUUCAAGAGUUCUGAGAGAGACUUCUACUCCUCCUCAUGGCUCUG